rnacentral:rRNA from 1 species
UACAGAGGUGGCAAGCGUUGUUCGGAAUUACUGGGCGUAAAGGGCGCGUAGGCGGUUCGGUAAGUCCUGUGUGAAAUCCCUCGGCUCAACUGAGGAACUGCACGGGAGACUGCCGGGCUUGAGUUCGGGAGAGGGAAGCGGAAUUCCGGGUGUAGCGGUGAAAUGCGUAGAUAUCAAGAGGAACACCUGCGGCGAAGGCGGGUUGCUGGGCCGACACUGACGCUGAGACGCGAAGGCGUGGGGAGCGAACGGG